rnacentral:rRNA from 1 species
UGUAUUUAGAGGAAGUAUAAGUCGUAACAAGGUUUCCGUAGGUGAACCUGCGGAAGGAUCAUUAUUGAAAUAAACCUGAUGGGUUGUUGCUGGCUCUCUAGGGAGCAUGUGCACGCCUUGUCAUCUUUAUAUCUCCACCUGUGCACCUUUUGUAGACCUUUCGGGGUCUAUGUUGCUUCAUUUUUCCACAAUGUAUGUUAAUAGAAUGUUGUGCCCUGUAUAAUAUAUACAACUUUCAGCAACGGAUCUCUUGGCUCUCGCAUCGAUGAAGAACGCAGCGAAAUGCGAUAAGUAAUGUGAAUUGCAGAAUUCAGUGAAUCAUCGAAUCUUUGAACGCACCUUGCGCUCCUUGGUAUUCCGAGGAGCAUGCCUGUUUGAGUGUCAUUAAUAUACAUAUAUCAAGCCUUCUCUUGUAGAAGGGUUUGGAUGUGGGGGUUUGCUGGCCUCUUAAUCUUAAGAGUUCAGCUCUCCUGAAAUGCAUUAGCAGAACAACCUUAUGUUCAUUGGUGUGAUAACUAUCUACGCUAUUGAAUGUUGAGGGGGAAGUUCAGCUUUCUAACGGUCCCUUGGACAACUCAUCAUUAAUGUGACCUCAAAUCAGGUAGGACUACCCGCUGAACUUAAGCAUAUCAAUAAGCGGAGGAAAAGAAACUAACAAGGAUUCCCCUAGUAACUGCGAGUGAAGCGGGAAAAGCUCAAAUUUAAAAUCUGGCGGUUUUUUUGGCCGUCCGAGUUGUAAUCUAGAGAAGUGUUAUCCGCGCUGGACCGUGUACAAGUCUCCUGGAAUGGAGCAUCAUAGAGGGUGAGAAUCCCGUCUUUGACAUGGACUGCCAGGGCUUUGUGAUGCGCUCUCAAAGAGUCGAGUUGUUUGGGAAUGCAGCUCAAAAUGGGUGGUAAAUUCCAUCUAAAGCUAAAUAUUGGCGAGAGACCGAUAGCGAACAAGUACCGUGAGGGAAAGAUGAAAGAACUU